GCAGUCGAACGAUGAAGCUUCUAGCUUGCUAGAAGUGGAUUAGUGGCGCACGGGUGAGUAAGGUAUAGUUAAUCUGCCCUACACAAGAGGACAACAGUUGGAAACGACUGCUAAUACUCUAUACUCCUGCUUAACACAAGUUGAGUAGGGAAAGUUUUUCGGUGUAGGAUGAGACUAUAUAGUAUCAGCUAGUUGGUAAGGUAAUGGCUUACCAAGGCUAUGACGCUUAACUGGUCUGAGAGGAUGAUCAGUCACACUGGAACUGAGACACGGUCCAGACUCCUACGGGAGGCAGCAGUAGGGAAUAUUGCGCAAUGGGGGAAACCCUGACGCAGCAACGCCGCGUGGAGGAUGACACUUUUCGGAGCGUAAACUCCUUUUCUUAGGGAAGAAUUCUGACGGUACCUAAGGAAUAAGCACCGGCUAACUCCGUGCCAGCAGCCGCGGUAAUACGGAGGGUGCAAGCGUUACUCGGAAUCACUGGGCGUAAAGGGCGCGUAGGCGGAUUAUCAAGUCUCUUGUGAAAUCUAAUGGCUUAACCAUUAAACUGCUUGGGAAACUGAUAGUCUAGAGUGAGGGAGAGGCAGAUGGAAUUGGUGGUGUAGGGGUAAAAUCCGUAGAUAUCACCAAGAAUACCCAUUGCGAAGGCGAUCUGCUGGAACUCAACUGACGCUAAGGCGCGAAAGCGUGGGGAGCAAACAGGAUUAGAUACCCUGGUAGUCCACGCCCUAAACGAUGUACACUAGUUGUUGGGGUGCUAGUCAUCUCAGUAAUGCAGCUAACGCAUUAAGUGUACCGCCUGGGGAGUACGGUCGCAAGAUUAAAACUCAAAGGAAUAGACGGGGACCCGCACAAGCGGUGGAGCAUGUGGUUUAAUUCGAAGAUACGCGAAGAACCUUACCUGGGCUUGAUAUCCUAAGAACCUUUUAGAGAUAAGAGGGUGCUAGCUUGCUAGAACUUAGAGACAGGUGCUGCACGGCUGUCGUCAGCUCGUGUCGUGAGAUGUUGGGUUAAGUCCCGCAACGAGCGCAACCCACGUAUUUAGUUGCUAACGGUUCGGCCGAGCACUCUAAAUAGACUGCCUUCGUAAGGAGGAGGAAGGUGUGGACGACGUCAAGUCAUCAUGGCCCUUAUGCCCAGGGCGACACACGUGCUACAAUGGCAUAUACAAUGAGACGCAAUACCGCGAGGUGGAGCAAAUCUAUAAAAUAUGUCCCAGUUCGGAUUGUUCUCUGCAACUCGAGAGCAUGAAGCCGGAAUCGCUAGUAAUCGUAGAUCAGCCAUGCUACGGUGAAUACGUUCCCGGGUCUUGUACUCACCGCCCGUCACACCAUGGGAGUUGAUUUCACUCGAAGCCGGAAUACUAAACUAGUUACCGUCCACAGUGGAAUCAGCGACUGG
rnacentral:rRNA from 1 species